AUUGAACGCUGGCUGCAGGCUUAACACAUGCAAGUCGAGCGGAGCGAGGGUGCGUGCACCUUAGCUUAGCGGCGUACGGGUGAGUAAUGCUUAGGAAUCUGCCUAUUAGUGGGGGACAACAUUCCGAAAGGAAUGCUAAUACCGCAUACGCUCUACGGGGGAAAGCAGGGGAUCGUCCGACCUUGGCCUAAUAGAUGAGCCUAAGUAGGAUUAGCUAGUUGGUGGGGUAAAGGCCUACCAAGGCAACGAUCUGUAGCGGGUCUGAGAGGAUGAUCCGCCACACUGGGACUGAGACACGGCCCAGACUCCUACAGGAGGCAGCAGUGGGGAAUAUAGGACAAUGGGCGGAAGCCAGAUCCAGCCAUGCCGCGUGUGUGAAGAAGGCCUUUUGGUUGUAAAGCACUUUAAGCGAGGCGGAGGCUACUGGUACUAAUACUACUGGAUAGUGGACGUUACUCGCAGAAUAAGCACCGGCUAACUCUGUGCCAGCAGCCGCCGUAAGAC
rnacentral:rRNA from 1 species